rfam:Parcubacteria (Moranbacteria) bacterium GW2011_GWA2_39_41 TT50_C0007, whole genome shotgun sequence.
GCCGUUGUAGCUCAGUUGGUAGAGCACAUCCUUGGUAGGGAUGAGGUCAGCAGUUCGAUUCUGCUCAACGGCU